GUUAAAAAGCUCGUAGUUGAACUUCUAAGGAUUGAAGUCGCCUUAUGGCUUGUAUUGAUAUCCUUAUCCGCUUUGGUUUAGCAAUACGCACUUUGUUGGGCGAUUGUGUAACCAGGCAAUUUACUUUGAAAAAAUUAGAGUGUUUCAAGCAGGCGAUUUGCUGGAAUACAUUAGCAUGGAAUAAUAGAACACGACCUCUUAGGCAUUUUAUUGGUAUAUGACUGGAGGUAAUGAUUAACAGGGACAGUUGGGGGCAUUAGUAUUGCAUUGUCAGAGGUGAAAUUCAUUGAU
rnacentral:rRNA from 1 species